rnacentral:rRNA from 1 species
UACGAAGGGGGCUAGCGUUGCUCGGAAUUACUGGGCGUAAAGGGCGCGUAGGCGGUUAGUUUAGUCAGAGGUGAAAGCCCAGGGCUCAACCUUGGAAUUGCCUUUGAUACUGGCUAUCUUGAGUUCGGGAGAGGUGAGUGGAAUGCCGAGUGUAGAGGUGAAAUUCGUAGAUAUUCGGCGGAACACCAGUGGCGAAGGCGACUCACUGGCCCGAUACUGACGCUGAGGCGCGAAAGCGUGGGGAGCAAACAGG